rnacentral:rRNA from 1 species
GAUGAACGCUGGCGGCGUGCCUAAUACAUGCAAGUCGAGCGAACAGAUGAGGAUCUUGCUCCUCUGACGUUAGCGGCGGACGGGUGAGUAACACGUGGAUAACCUACCUAUAAGACUGGGAUAACGUCGGGAAACCGGAGCUAAUACCGGAUAAUAUAUUGAACCGCAUGGGUCAGUAGUGAAAGACGGUUUUGCUGUCACUUAUAGAUGGAUCCGCGCCGCAUUAGCUAGUUGGUAAGGUAACGGCUUACCAAGGCAACGAUGCGUAGCCGACCUGAGAGGGUGAUCGGCCACACUGGAACUGAGACACGGUCCAGACUCCUACGGGAGGCAGCAGUAGGGAAUCUUCCGCAAUGGGCGAAAGCCUGACGGAGCAACGCCGCGUGAGUGAUGAAGGUCUUCGGAUCGUAAAACUCUGUUAUUAGUGAAGACCAAAUGUGUAAGUAACUAUGCACGUCUUGACGGUACCUAAUCAGAAAGCCACGGCUAACUACGUG